AUUGAACGCUGGCGGCAGGCCUAACACAUGCAAGUCGAACGAGUGGCGGACGGGUGAGUAAUGUGUGGGAAACUGCCCGAUGGAGGGGGAUAACUACUGGAAACGGUAGCUACUACCGCAUACCAUCGGAUGUGCCCAGAUGGGAUUUGCUAGUAGGUGGGGUAACGGCUUACCUAGGCGCCGAUCCCUGGCUGGUCUGAGGGCAUGACGAGCCACACUGGAACUGAGACACGGUCCAGACUCCUACGGGAGGCAGCAGUGGGGAAUUGUGCACGAUUGGCGCAAGCCUGAUGCAGCCAUGCCGCGUGUAUGAGGGAGGCCUUCGGGUUUUCAAGUACUUUCAGCGAGGAGGCGUUACUCGCAGAAGAAGCACCGGCUAACUCCGUGCCAGCAGCCGCGGUAAUUC
rnacentral:rRNA from 1 species